UCUUUGCCGUGGUAGACCAGUUCGUACUCCCGCUUUUCGGGCGGGAAGAGGAUGCGCGCCCACUCGGGCGAGAGUUCUUCGCCCUGUUGGAGGA
rnacentral:tRNA from 1 species